rnacentral:lncRNA from 1 species
UAAAUUUAAAAAUAAUAAUAAUCAACUGUUAUUAAAUAUUCUAGUGUUUCUAAAAAUUAUAGUACUUCAUGAUGGAGAUCCAUUGGUCCAAUAUGCAUCCAUCCACCGCCGUCCAGUAUACUAAUUUCUACCUGAAAAUUGUAAAUAGAGAGGGAUGAGUAUAACGAAUUAUACUCAAUGAGGUGCUUGCUACUCCACAUUCAAAUCAAACGUGAAAUUAUGCAUAAAUUCUCUUACCAACAUAACAUGAGAAUUAUCACACCAUGACAAAUGAUAAUUCAAGCAAGCGCUGCAAAUAACGUGAAGGCUAAAUUGUGCCUUAAACUGUAUCAUGAUUUCUCCCAAAGGAGCUCUGAACUGAAGUAAUUAAAUCCAUACAUAACAACGUAUUUGAAAAGAUGUGGACAAACCACUAAUAGCACUAAGCAUCUCACCUUUUGAAGAUGAACGUGGAAAAUAAAAUUGCUGAAAACGUGAUUCUUUAUUGCGAUUCCAAGGCCUUAAAAAGGCUUAAUAAUAUGGAGAAAUAUUUUAAAGAGGAGAAGAGAAUAAAGACGUGCAGAAGAAGAAUGAUGAAUUAAUGACUGAAUGCUUGAGGUUUAGUGCUAUAUUUAUACUAAACCAUGGUGUAGGGUAAUCACGUGGGAAGUGGAAUUUUGAUAAGUUUUGAAUUCUAAAUUUCUGUGCACAUCACAUAAGUUAGUUUAGAAUUCUGAUCCCAUAAAUUAGUUUGAAAUUCUGAUUGGUGAUUUCUUAUGGGAUUCUGUCGAGUUUUAUAUCAGAUAAGGAAAGGAUAAAGAUAAAGAGGCUGCAUGACCUUUACACACGUGGACUGAUCUUCUAUUUUGAUGAAUCUGAUUGUUUAUUGGUUUUGAUAAGUUCAAAAUCAACUACAAUUAUAAUAAGGAAAAGGACAAAGAGGCGUGAAUCUGAUUGUUUGCUGCUUGAAUUCACACGUGGGCUGGGAAACCAAAUUGGCCUCCUAUUUGCACAUUUUAAUAAAAUAAAUAACUAGUUAAUCUCCUGUUUCGAUCAAAAUAAAUGGAAGAGUGUGUCAAAUGAAAUUUCUAUACAACUUAACUAGUUUAAUUAAUUAAAGUCCUAACUAUUCUAAUACAAUAAUUAUUAGAAGACUUUAUCAUAAUCCAAAUCCUAUAUGAUUAAGAAUAAUAAUUUCUAUCUUAAUUAAAGUAGAUUAGUAUUACAAGUAACCAAUAAUUUAUUAUAAUAAAGAGACUUUAUCCUUUGCACACGUAAACACUAGGAUAAAUUUAGUUUCCUUAUUACAUUUGUUAAACAUCUUAAAUGGAUAACUAAUAAUCUCCUAAUGGCCGAAACAAACUGUUUGCAUACUAAAUAAAUUAGAAUUUCAUUUAUACCUUGAUUCUUCUAUUGAUUCCAUCUUAAUUCAACUUAUCCAAAAUAUCAUUUUCUUAAUCCUAAUAUAUAUAAUUAAUUAUUAUCUAUCAAAGGAGUCCAAUAUUGAUAUAGUAAUUUAGCUCGAAUUAAUAACUAAUAUUAUUAACUAAGUAGUUUUCUUAAUUGGCUAUAACUCAAGUUUAACGAAUCCAAAUUGAAUUUUUCUUGAGUCCAUAAUUCAUCAUUUAUUACGAGUUUCAAAAUGAGCCCAAUAUUGAUAGGGUAAUUCUAACUCCUUCAAUAAUUAACUAUUCGGCCUAUUUAAUAAAGGUAUAAAAUCUGAAACUUAUUUUCACUUUAGUCCCUCAACUAUAAAGAUAUUUACAUAGAUCCAAAUUAACUAUAGAGAUAACCAAUUAACUUGUAUAAGGACUUAACUGAACAUUGCAUUCCUAUUAAAUAAAUUAAUGCUAAGUAAAAAUUUGGGAUUUUACAACGAGCACUUUUAUGCGUUUAAUGAACCAUGUUUUGCGUGCUUUUAUUGGAAAUUUUGUUUUAGUUUAUUUUGAUGACAUCUUAAUCUAUAGGAAAAACCUAGAUGAGCAUUUAGAACAUUUAAAUUGUGUGCUUGUUGUGUUGCGAAAGGAACAACUGUAUGCUAAUUUCAAAAAGUGCACAUUCUGCAUGGAUACAGUUGUUUUCCUAGGAUUUGUGGCUAGAAAAGAUAAAAGCUAUUAAAGAAUGGCCAACACCUAAAACUAUAACUGAGUUUUCAUGGAUUGACUAGUUUUUAUAGGCGAUUUGUAAAAGAUUUUAGCACCAUCACCACACCGUUGACUGAAAUAGUAAAGAAGAGUGUAGGUUUUCAUUGGGGAGAAUCCCAAGAAAUUGCAUUUAACACAAUUAAGGAUAAGCUAUGUAAAGCACCUAUUUUGGCAUUACCAAAUUUUGAUAAAACAUUCGAGGUUGAGUGUGAUGCAUCAGGAAUAGGUAUAGGAGCAGUGUUAAUGCAGGAAAGGAGGCCUAUUGCUUACUUUAGCAAAAAGUUGAGUGGGGCAGCAUUGAAUUAUCCGACAUAUGACAAGGAGUUGUAUUCACUUGUUCGAGCAUUGGAGACUUGACAGCACUACUUAUGGGCAAAGGAAUUCAUGAUACACACCGAUCAUAAAUCUUUAAAGCAUUUGCGAGGUCAAGGUAAGUUGAACAAAAGACAUGCGAGAUGGGUGGAGUUUAUGAAGACAUUUUCCUACGUCAUCAAGUACAAACAAGGUAAUGAAAAUAUAGUUGCUGAUGCGUUGUCUCGAAGGUACGUGCUUUUAAAUUCAUUAAGUACUAAAUUACUUGGUUUCGAGCAUAUUAAGGGCAAGUAUGAAUCUGAUUGUGAUUUUUCUAGUAUUUAUGCUUCAUGUGACAAAGGUGCAUUUGAUAAAUUCUAUAGGCAUGAAAGAUAUUUGUUUAGGGAAGAUAAGUUGUGCAUUCCUAAUUGUUAUUUGCGUGAAUUAUUGGUAAGGGAAGCACAUGGGGGUGGUUUAAUGGGACACUUCGGGGUUCAAAAGACUUUAGACAUGUUAGGGGAACAUUUUUAUUGGCCUAAAAUACGACAUGACGUAGAACAAAUAUGUGGAAAGUGCAUAACUUGUAAAAAAGCUAAGUCUAAGGUUCAACCUUAUGUUUUGUAUACUCCUUUACCUAUACCUAGUGAACCUUUGGUAGACAUAUGUAUGGACUUUGUGUUAGGUUUGCCUAGGACAAAAAGGGAUCGAGAUUCAAUAUUUGUAGUGGUCGAUAGGUUUAGUAAGAUGGCGCACUUCAUACCAUGUCAUAAAACUGACGAUGCUACUAAUAUUGCAGACUUAUUCUUUAGGGAAAUAGUACGUUUACAUGGAGUACCUAAAAGUAUAGUGUCUGAUAGGGACGUGAAGUUUUUGAGUCAUUUUUGGCGUGUUCUGUGGAGUAAGUUAGGAACUAAGUUAUUAUUUUCUACAACUUGUCACCCACAAAUAGAUGGACAAACUGAGGUAGUUAAUCGAAUUAUGACUCAACUACUUAGAACAGUGAUCAAUAAAAACCUGAAAUCAUGGGAAGAGUCUUUACCGUUUAUAGAGUUUGCAUAUAAUCGAGCUACACAUUCUACUACUCCGUUUUCUCCUUUUGAAAUUGUUUAUGGUUUUAAUCCACUAACACCUAUGGAUUUAAUGCCUUUGCCUAUGCAUGAACGAGGUAGCUUGGAUGGGAAACAAAAAGCCGAGAUGGUGAAAACAAUCCAUGAAAAGGUGAGGAUGCAGAUCGAAAAGAAAGGAAAGCUGUUUGCAUCAAAAGCAAAUAAAGGAAGAAGACACGUUACAUUUGAGCCUGGAGAUUGGGUCUAGGCGCAUUUCAGAAAAGAGCGUUUUCCAGAACAGAGGAAGUCAAAAUUGCAACCACGAGGCGAUGGACCUUUUCAAGUCAUCGAGAGGAUCAAUGACAAUGCAUCCAAAGUGGAUUUACCUGGUGAGUACAAUGUUUCGGCUACUUUUAAUGUAUCUGAUCUCUCUGUUUGAUGUAGGUUCAGAUUCGAGCACGAAUCCUUUUGAAGAGGGAGGGGAUGAUAUGAUCCAAGAGUCGAGCCCGACGAAGGCAAGUGCGAGACGAGACCCGUUGAUAGUCGAUGGCGGACCAAUGAAGCGAUCAAGGGCAAAGAAAGUGAAACAAGUGAUGGGAUUCCUCGUUCAAGAAACUAUUGAUGGAACCAUGUUCGGGACUCAAAAUAGGACAAGUUUCGUGUUCGAGUCGAAGGCCGAAACAAAAUGGAUCAAUGGGUUAUAAGCAGCCGAAGACGAGAGUGGGCAGUGUAACCAUGCGGCCGCACGGUGCGACCGCACAACAUGAUACCGAGAUUUCAAUUGGCCAAAAUCUUAUUACCAUGCGACCGCACGUGAUGCGACCACAUGGUUCAUUUCUGGGGCGAUUUUCCUUUUUUCCGCAUUUUUCCUUAUUUUACUAGAAUUUCAUUCUUAAUCAAACUCCUACCAUAUUGGACGAAUAUUUUAGGAAUUUUGUUAGAUUAUUAGAAUUAUGUUUCCUUUUUGACUCCUAUUCGAGGAAUAGUAUAAAUAGGAGAAUAAUUUUUCAUUGUAAAAACAUUUGAACUUUUGACAUUGC